AGACUACUCCCUCCGUCUGAAAAUACUUGUCAUCAAAAUGAACAAAAAGGAAUGUAUUUAGAACUAAAAUACAUCUAGAUACAUUCCCUUUUAUUCGUUUUGAUGACAUGUAUUUCCGGAUGGAGGGAGUAUAUA
rfam:Triticum aestivum genome assembly, contig: Triticum_aestivum_CS42_TGACv1_scaffold_145990_2BS